UCAUGAAUGAAGUUAUGUCAAAGAAGAGAAUACCCAAAACAUGGCCAGAAGCAUAUGUUGCACUUAUACCGAAGGAAGACAUAGACCCGCAGCAAGUUAAGAAUUACAAACCUAUAUCCCUAUUAAACUCAGACUAUAAAAUUUUUGCUUCAAUUUUGGCAGAAAGACUGAAAAGAUACUUAAAUAAUUUUAUUCAUGCUGAUCAAAAUGGAUUUCUGCCAAAGAGACAAAUCAAAGACAAUAUGAGAAUAAUUCUGGAUACUUUGGAAUAUUAUGAGGUACAUCCUGAAAAGCAAAUGGCCUUGAUUUUUUUUAGAUGCACAAAAAGCAUUUGACAAUGUGAGCUGGUAAUUCAUGUUAUUGCAAUUGGAAUAAAUGGGAUUUGGGGG